CACACAGGCCCAAAUGCUCUAAAGACACCAAAUCAUUUUUGAUCUUGGAAACUAAGCAAGGUCAGCACUGGUUAAUACUUGGAUGGGAGACUAGCAAUGCAUAUAAGUUGCUGGAGGGU
rnacentral:rRNA from 11 species